GACAGAGGGUGCAAACGUUUGUUCGGAAUUACUGGGCGUAAAGCGCAUGUAGGCGGUUCGUAAAGUCAGAUGUGAAAGCCCUGGGCUUAACCCAGGAAGUGCAUUUGAAACUCACGAACUGGAGUCCCGGAGAGGAAGGCGGAAUUCUCGGUGUAGAGGUGAAAUUCGUAGAUAUCGAGAGGAACAUCUGCGGCGAAGGCGGCCUUCUGGACGGUGACUGACGCUGAGAUGCGAAAGCGUGGGGAGCAAACAGG
rnacentral:rRNA from 1 species